rnacentral:rRNA from 1 species
AUGGGCCCUCUUGUGGUAGACCCACAUGUCAUCGGUGUAACUAUUUACACUCCGAAGGACGUCUUCCACUCUUCUUCCUCCUCUCUUCUUCUUCCUCCUCUCUUCCCCAUCGUCGGCCGCACACCAUUUACCCCCGCUCACUGCUCGCCCGCCUGCGGCAUCUUCCUUGGUAGCUCCAGACGCAAAUGCGCUGGCCUUCAUGAUUCUAGGACAUGGAAUCAUACCAGCCGAUGGUCGAAGAAGGAUUGGCCGGUGCUGCCGGCUGGCAUCAAGUUCGAUCCCACGGAUCAGGAGCUGAUCGAGCACCUUGAGGCCAAAGCGAGUGUUGACAGCGCGAGAUUUCAGUCUCUCAUCGAUUUGUUCAUACCAACCAUCGACAGCGAGCACGACAUAUGCUACACCCAACCUGAGAAACUUCCAGGUAUCACACUGAGUGUCCUAAGGAAGCAUUUCUUCCAGCACAAUUCCAGGGCAUUCAAAAGGGGCACGUGCACGCAUCGCAAGAUACAGUCGGAGUGCGGCAUGCACACAAUGUGGCACAAGACCGGCAAUACCUUGCCGGUGAUGGUCAACGGCCGGCAAACGGGUAGCAAAAAAGGUUCUGGUGCUGCACACCAACAAGAACUUCGACCAGCAGAGGACCAACUGGGUGAUGCACCAGUACCACCUCGGGUACCUGGAGCAAGAGAAGGAGUAGGAGCUGGUCCUCUGCAAGAUUUUCUACCAGACGAACACUAG